rnacentral:rRNA from 2 species
UGGGGAAUCUUAGACAAUGGGGGCAACCCUGAUCUAGCCAUGCCGCGUGGGUGAUGAAGGCCUUAGGGUCGUAAAGCCCUUUCGCUGGGGAAGAUAAUGACGGUACCCAGUAAAGAAGCCCCGGCUAACUCCGUGCCAGCAGCCGCGGUAAUACGGAGGGGGCUAGCGUUGUUCGGAAUGACUGGGCGUAAAGCGCGCGUAGGCGGAUUGGCAAGUUGGGGGUGAAAUCCCGGGGCUCAACCUCGGAAUGGCCUUCAAGACUGCUGGUCUUGAGUUCGAGAGAGGUGAGUGGAAUUCCGAGUGUAGAGGUGAAAUUCGUAGAUAUUCGGAGGAACACCAGUGGCGAAGGCGGCUCACUGGCUCGACACUGACGCUGAGGUGCGAAAGCGUGGGGAGCAAACAGG